AACGUGACAGUGGCUGCUGGUAUCGCUGGCUCUGACAAUGUUGCACUACUGUCUGCACAAAUAAAGCAGUGCAAUAAUAUUGUCAAAGCAUUUGGUUCCAGUCCUAAUACAUCCUUUAU
rnacentral:pre_miRNA from 17 species